rnacentral:rRNA from 1 species
UACAGAGACUGCAAGCAUUAUUCGGAUUCACUGGGCGUAAAGGGUGCGCAGGCGGUUGGGUGUGUCAGAUGUGAAAUCCCGAGGCUUAACCUCGGAACUGCGUCCGAUACUGGUUGGCUUGAAUCCGGGAGAGGGAUGUGGAAUUCCAGGUGUAGCGGUGAAAUGCGUAGAUAUCUGGAGGAACACCGGUGGCGAAGGCGACAUCCUGGACCGGUAUUGACGCUGAGGCGCGAAAGCCAGGGGAGCAAACGGG